GGACCCAGUAGGGAUCAAGGUCAAUCGCCUGCAGACAACAAUAAUGGCGUUAGUUUGAAACCAGAAACCAGGGGCCGUAUAGGUAGAACCAAGGAAUACUUGUGAUACUCGUUCAUAACGACAAAGCUUUUCUUAGAAAAAAUAUACUGUCUUGCUGGGGAUCGAGUUGCGUGCGUGGGCUAGAAACGAGCUAAAUGGUUGCACUUCUAUGAUAAAGCAACAAGCCAAAUGCAAUGACUACUUAGAAGAUAUUACGAAAUUCACCCUUUCCGGCCGCAUCCAACAGAAUGACGUUUUGCGUUUUGUCUUGAUGGACAACGAAGUAAAAA